rnacentral:rRNA from 1 species
UGGGGAAUAUUGGACAAUGGGCGAAAGCCUGAUCCAGCCAUGCCGCGUGUGUGAAGAAGGUCUUCGGAUUGUAAAGCACUUUAAGUUGGGAGGAAGGGCAGUUACCUAAUACGUGAUUGUUUUGACGUUACCGACAGAAUAAGCACCGGCUAACUCUGUGCCAGCAGCCGCGGUAAUACAGAGGGUGCAAGCGUUAAUCGGAAUUACUGGGCGUAAAGCGCGCGUAGGUGGUUUGUUAAGUUGGAUGUGAAAUCCCCGGGCUCAACCUGGGAACUGCAUUCAAAACUGACUGACUAGAGUAUGGUAGAGGGUGGUGGAAUUUCCUGUGUAGCGGUGAAAUGCGUAGAUAUAGGAAGGAAUACCAGUGGCGAAGGCGACCACCUGGACUAAUACUGACACUGAGGUGCGAAAGCGUGGGGAGCAAACA